rnacentral:rRNA from 1 species
AUUGAACGCUGGCGGCAGGCCUAACACAUGCAAGUCGAACGAGUGGCGGACGGGUGAGUAAUGUCUGGGAAACUGCCUGAUGGCGGGGGAUAACUACUGGAAACGGUAGCUAAUACCGCAUACCAUCAGAUGUACCCAUAUGGGAUUAGCUAGUAGGUAGGGUAACGGCUCACCUAGGCGACGAUCCCUAGCUGGUCUGAGAGGAUGAUCAGCCACACUGGGACUGAGACACGGCCCAGACUCCUACGGGAGGCAGCAGUGGGGAAUAUUGCACAAUGGGCGCAAGCCUGAUGCAGCCAUGCCGCGUGUAUGAAGAAGGCCUUCGGGUUGUAAAGUACUUUCAGCCGGGAGGCGUUACCCGCAGAAGAAGCACCGGCUAACUCCGUGCCAGCAGCCGCGGUAAUUC